UUGAAAAAUUAGCGGAUGACCUGUGGCUGGGGGUGAAAGGCCAAUCAAACCGGGAGAUAGCUGGUUCUCCCCGAAAGCUAUUUAGGUAGCGCCUCGUGAAUUCAUCUCCGGGGGUAGAGCACUGUUUCGGCUAGGGGGCCAUCCCGGCUUACCAACCCGAUGCAAACUGCGAAUACCGGAGAAUGUUAUCACGGGAGACACACGGCGGGUGCUAACGUCCGUCGUGAAGAGGGAAACAACCCAGACCGCCAGCUAAGGUCCCAAAGUCAUGGUUAAGUGGGAAACGAUGUGGGAAGGCCCAGACAGCCAGGAUGUUGGCUUAGAAGCAGCCAUCAUUUAAAGAAAGCGUAAUAGCUCACUGGUCGAGUCGGCCUGCGCGGAAGAUGUAACGGGGCUAAACCAUG
rnacentral:rRNA from 1 species